GCAGAUGUACCCGAGUGGUCAAAGGGGAUGGGCUCAAGUUCCAUUGCGUAGUGCUUCGCAGGUUCAAAUCCUGCCAUCUGCACCA
rnacentral:tRNA from 1 species